rnacentral:hammerhead_ribozyme from 1 species
CCAGUGCUGAAGAGUCCCAAACCAGGACGAAACAGCUGUCCAGUAC